AUUGAACGCUGGCGGAAUGCUUUACACAUGCAAGUCGAACGGCAGCACGGGGCAACCUGGUGGCGAGUGGCGAACGGGUGAGUAAUACAUCGGAACGUGCCCAAUCGUGGGGGAUAACGUAGCGAAAGUUACGCUAAUACCGCAUACGAUCUACGAAUGAAAGCGGGGGAUCGCAAGACCUCGCGCGAGUGGAGCGGCCGAUGUCAGAUUAGGUAGUUGGUGGGGUAAAGGCUCACCAAGCCAACGAUCUGUAGCUGGUCUGAGAGGACGACCAGCCACACUGGAACUGAGACACGGUCCAGACUCCUACGGGAGGCAGCAGUGGGGAAUUUUGGACAAUGGGCGCAAGCCUGAUCCAGCCAUUCCGCGUGCAGGAUGAAGGCCUUCGGUUGUAAACUGCUUUUGUACGGUAACGAAACGGCGAGCUCUAAUACAGUUUGCUAAUGACGGUACCGUAAGAAUAAGACACCGGCUAACUACGUAGCCAGCAGCCGCGGUAAU
rnacentral:rRNA from 1 species